rnacentral:rRNA from 1 species
CUACGGGCUGCUCCAGUGGGGAAUAUUGGACAAUGGGCGCAAGCCUGAUCUAGCCAUGCCGCGUGAGCGACGAAGGCCUUAGGGUCGUAAAGCUCUUUCGCUGGGGAAGAUAAUGACGGUACCCAGUAAAGAAACCCCGGCUAACUCCGUGCCAGCAGCCGCGGUAAUACGGAGGGGGUUAGCGUUGUUCGGAAUUACUGGGCGUAAAGCGCGCGUAGGCGGAUCAGAAAGUUGGGGGUGAAAUCCCGGGGCUCGACCCCGGAACUGCCUUCAAAACUCCUGGUCUUGAGUUCGAGAGAGGUGAGUGGAAUUCCGAGUGUAGAGGUGAAAUUCGUAGAUAUUCGGAGGAACACCAGUGGCGAAGGCGGCUCACUGGCUCGAUACUGACGCUGAGGUGCGAAAGCGUGGGGAGCAAACAGGAUUAGAUACCCUCGUAGUC